rnacentral:rRNA from 1 species
CAGAGGGUGCGAGCGUUAAUCGGAUUUACUGGGCGUAAAGCGUGCGUAGGCGGCUUCUUAAGUCGGAUGUGAAAUCCCUGAGCUUAACUUAGGAAUUGCAUUCGAUACUGGGAAGCUAGAGUAUGGGAGAGGAUGGUAGAAUUCCAGGUGUAGCGGUGAAAUGCGUAGAGAUCUGGAGGAAUACCGAUGGCGAAGGCAGCCAUCUGGCCUAAUACUGACGCUGAGGUACGAAAGCAUGGGGAGCAAACAGG